rnacentral:rRNA from 1 species
ACAACGGAUCUCUUGGCUCUCGCAUCGAUGAAGAACGCAGCGAAAUGCGAUAAGUAAUGUGAAUUGCAGAAUUCAGUGAAUCAUCGAAUCUUUGAACGCACCUUGCGCCCUUUGGUUCUCCGAAGGGCACGCCUGUUUGAGUGUCAUGUUCCUCUCAAUCCCUUGCAUUUUGUAUGCUUGCGGAUUGGAUUUGGGGGCUGCGGGCUUCUGACGAGGUCGGCUCCCCUUGAAUGCAUUAGUGGGCAUCUGGCUCGCGUUGCUGGUGUGAUAGUCUCUUCAUCAUCGGCGGCGCUUGUCUAAUGGGUCUGCUUUCGAACCGUCUUCUCAACGGAGACAACGUCCGGUCGAGCAAUUGACAUGGACAUUCCUUUGACCUCAAAUCAGGCGGGACU